UCAUCCUUCCUGUAUAGGUCUUUUCCUUUUAUGUAGAAGUAAGGGGUCCGUUUAUUCUAAGCUUAUUUUCCGGUGGGGUAUUGAAUUAUAGUUAUAAAUAGAUGCAUACAUCCAAUACUGGUUUUAUGUGAUUGUGACGUCGAUAUGCCUGAUUUCGUCGCAUUGCUGCUGUGCCUCAUUUACUUGUAUCCUAAAUAAAUCAGUCCUUGAUUCAUGCUUGUUGCGGCUUUGUACAUUAAUAACUACAUUCCCCUCGUUCUCCAUUAUAGUUUAUACAUGUUGACCUCUUAUUUUAUUAUGCUUCUGAACCUUUGCCUCUGGAUCCACCCUUGGAACCAAUGUCAUGAGCGAGGGUGAGGAAUUUCUAUAUCAUUAAGUUUCUUUUUCUUUUUUAUUUCUGGUCUGUGUAUCAUGAAUCUAAUUCUAGAACUUUACGCGUCACAGGUACCGGUAAGCAUUUGGUAAGAUACAUAUGGAUGUAGACCUAUAUCAUGUAAUUUGCUAACUCUUUUUUAUUAGGUCUGUAGAAUAGAAUGAUAUGAUACGAUUGAUUUAUUUUGUGAAGUUUGAAUUGGACUUAAAUUGAUUCGUGAGGAAUAUGAAUUGGUUCCAUCAGGUCUGAGUCUGGUAUUCAAAUGGCGAGACACAACAGAAUGAAAAUUUUAGUAAAACUAGGGCUAAGAGAAGUUUGGCUGGAGUUGCUUCAAAAGUGUGGUGGGGAAGUAAAAUAACUCGAAUUAUAGGCCAAAUCAUUUGACUCUGGCAUGAUCGAAUAUUCCUUUAUGUUAUGAACAUAUCCAGCUCAUGAUUACUUAGCUUUACUCUGCUAAUAAUAGCAUGUUGAAAAGUGAGUAACCGGGUAAAAAUGGUGUUUAGCCAGAGGCUGAGGAUGUUACGUCAUGUACUUUUGAUAUACCUGUGCCAGAGCGAAACUUGGGAAUGAGGAUGUGAAUGUGAAACAGUUAGAGUCUCAGGAAAGAUGGGGAAAUAAACCCCGUGUUCACAAAUAAACGGCUGGAGGCUCAGAGAGCAGUGGAAAUAAACUGGGGGUUCCCAAAAUAGGCUGUUUCAGAAUAUGCUCUGAGAUUAAAAGUAUAAAGGCUUAUUCUUCUGAAAGCUGACUUUUUUUCCCCUGACUAUGAGCCUAGGAAAGGUAGUCGGGCAAAAUGACCUUUACUCUGGUUAUGGAGUUGCUGAUUUUUGAAAAUGAACAUGUCUGAUGAGAGGAGGCCUUUUCUCACCCGAUAUUGCACCCCUGGAUGUGUAGUUUGCUUCGUUAGGUGUGGAAUCGUCACUUACUGGUACAAAAAGAAUCACAGGAGAUAAAAGAUGAUGCACUUGCUACGUGAAUUCUUCAUUCUUAUUCGUCAACUAGGGCUUCUCUGGCGGAUGUAAUCCCAGUCUCCUAGUUUUUGACAGAACUAUUUUAAAGCUAUGCAACUACUAUUAGAACCUUGAAUAAUACCAGAUGAACAGUAGAAACGUAAGUGGGCGUUUUACCAGUUUUGUUUAGUCUCCAUUCUCCUUCCAACAGAGAAGCAUGACUAUGCACCGUCGGAUAAUGUAUAGCUUUGCUCUCUUCUCCUUCAAAACUCUACCCUUGGGCCCCUGAAGAUUUUUGGCUUGCUUUCUUGAAGACGUGGGAAUUUCCAUGAUCUGGUUUCACUUCCUCAACUUCAUACUUCCCGAUAGAAUUCCUCUUUGGCACAGGCUAUAUGGAGUUUCUUGGCAGUGGCGGUGAGUGGGUUAGGAGUUACUGGAGUUAAGUUUGAGUUUGCUUUGAAAUCAACAAAAUAGUGAGAGUGAAGAGAGUAUUAAUUCGAGUUAGCUUUUUCGGUCAACCAGGAAGCUGAUUUUCUGCUUUCAGUCGCUGUCCCGGGCUUCCUUGGUCCCUACUCCUGCGUCCGGAAUCCCAGGACUGCUGUUUUCUGUGCUGUGCUUCUUUAUUUACUGCCUAAGGACAAAUAAACCGCGUAGGCACUUAUCCGAGUAAUUUUAUAAAAACUUGUUAAUGCAUCUGCUAGAAUUUAGUA